UGCAAAGUCAGGCUAGUACAUCUAACACACACAGGUUUCCCCCUGACUUCUUCCUCCCACCAAUUCCCUGGUGAGUACAGACUCAAUUUCCCUGGAGU